AGUUUGAUCCUGGCUCAGGAUGAACGCUGGCGGCGUGCCUAAUACAUGCAAGUCGAACGAGGUGCUUGAGUAGCAAUACAAGAGUAUCCUAGUGGCGAACGGGUGAGUAACGCGUGGGUGACCUGCCCCGAAGUGUGGGAUAACAGUCCGAAAGGAUUGCUAAUACCUCAUGUGGUUAUCGGAUUUAGAAACUGAUAACUAAAGGAGCAAUUCGCUUUGGGAGGGACCUGCGUCCCAUCAGCUAGUUGGUGAGGUAACGGCUCACCAAGGCUACGACGGGUAGGGGACCUGAGAGGGUGGCCCCCCACAAUGGAACUGAAACACGGUCCAUACACCUACGGGUGGCAGCAGUAGGGAAUAUUGCACAAUGGCGAAAGCCUGAUGCAGCAACGCCGCGUGUGCGAUGAAGGCCUUCGGGUCGUAAAGCACUUUUCUGAGAGAUGAGAAAGGACAGUAUCUCAGGAAUAAGUCUCGGCUAACUACGUG
rnacentral:rRNA from 1 species